rnacentral:rRNA from 1 species
AUUGAACGCUGGCGGCAGGCCUAACACAUGCAAGUCGAACGAGUGGCGGACGGGUGAGUAAUGUUUGGGAAACUGCCUGAUGGCGGGGGAUAACUACUGGAAACGGUAGCUAAUACCGCAUACCAUCAGAUGUGCCCAGAUGGGAUUAGCUAGUGGGUGGGGUAACGGCUCACCAAGGCGACGAUCCCUAGCUGGUCUGAGAGGAUGACCAGCCACACUGGAACUGAGUCACGGUCCAGACUCAUACGGGAGGCAGCAGUGGGUAAUAUUGCACAAUAGGCGCAAGCCUUAUAAAGCCAUCCCGCGUGUAUGAAGCAGGCCUUCGGGUUUUAAAGUACUUUCAGCGGAGAGGCGUUACCCGCAGAAGAAGCACCGGCUAACUCCGUGCCAGCAGCCGCGGUAAUUC